rnacentral:rRNA from 1 species
UGGGGAAUCUUGCGCAAUGGGCGAAAGCCUGACGCAGCGACGCCGCGUGGGUGAUGAAGGCCUUCGGGUUGUAAAGCCCUGUGGGGAGAGAAGAAUAAGUUUUGGUUAAUACCCGAAGCGAUGACGGUAUCUCCUUAGCAAGCACCGGCUAACUCUGUGCCAGCAGCCGCGGUAAGACAGAGGGUGCAAACGUUGUUCGGAAUUACUGGGCGUAAAGCGCGUGUAGGCGGCCAAGCAAGUCGGAUGUGAAAGCCCUCGGCUCAACCGGGGAAGUGCACUCGAAACUGCAUGGCUAGAGUCUCGGAGAGGAUCGUGGAAUUCUCGGUGUAGAGGUGAAAUUCGUAGAUAUCGAGAGGAACACCGGUGGCGAAGGCGGCGAUCUGGACGAUGACUGACGCUGAGACGCGAAAGCGUGGGGAGCAAACA